rnacentral:rRNA from 1 species
AUUGAACGCUGACGGCAGGCCUAACACAUGCAAGUCGAACGGUAACAGGAAACAGCUUGCUGUUUCGCUGACGAGUGGCGGACGGGUGAGUAAUGUCUGGGAAACUGCCUGAUGGAGGGGGAUAACUACUGGAAACGGUAGCUAAUACCGCAUAACGUCGCAAGACCAAAGAGGGGGACCCUCGGGCCUCUUGCCAUCGGAUGUGCCCAGAUGGGAUUAGCUUGUUGGUGGGGUAACGGCUCACCAAGGCGACGAUCCCUAGCUGGUCUGAGAGGAUGACCAGCCACACUGGAACUGAGACACGGUCCAGACUCCUACGGGAGGCAGCAGUGGGGAAUAUUGCACAAUGGGCGCAAGCCUGAUGCAGCCAUGCCGCGUGUAUGAAGAAGGCCUUCGGGUUGUAAAGUACUUUCAGCGGGGAGGAAGGGAGUAAAGUUAAUACCUUUGCUCAUUGACGUUACCCGCAGAAGAAGCACCGGCUAACUCCGUG